rnacentral:rRNA from 1 species
UACGUAGGGACCGAGCGUUGUCCGGAAUCAUUGGGCGUAAAGAGCGUGUAGGCGGCCGAUCAAGUUCCGCGUGAAAUCUCACGGCUCAACCGUGAGCAGCCGUGGAAAACUGGUCGGCUAGAGUGCGGGAGAGGAGAGUGGAAUUCCUGGUGUAGCGGUGAAAUGCGCAGAUAUCAGGAAGAACACCCGGUGGCUAAGGCGGCUCUCUAGUACGGUACUGACGCUGAGACGCGAAAGCGUGGGGAGCGAACAGG